CCGGCGCCCCUGAACCGUACUUAGCUCAACCUGGGAGCUGAGGAUGGGUGCCUCAUAUAUCUUCUUGAUGCAGUUACGUUGCAUGCUUGAAAAUAUAUCCAACCACCAGGCGAAAUCCUGGAUGGUUGGACUUUCAGAUCUAUCUUGGUAACUAGCUCUGAGAUCAGCUGAUCUGAUAUUAGUUCAAGCUUCAAGCCAAUGGGGAAAUCACUAUAUUCGGUGAUAUGGAUCUUCUUGCUAACUUUUACAACGAACCUCUUGCAAAGGAGGCUCGCGCAGAUAUAUGUCAGCCAUAUUCCUCGGUAGUUUUGGAGUCAUUUGAUAACAUAUUCAUAUGUUCUGCCACAUUGAAGACGACUGCAUUGGAGUAAUUCCUUUCCUUGGAGGAAUCUUGGUCAUGGCUGAGUUGAGUUGCAACAAAUUUGUCAAGGACUCGCCAAUCAGUCACCUGGUCCACCGCCUGGUCGACGUUAUUACAGUAAAAUAAUGAGGAGCUCAUCGUGUUUUGUUGAUGGCACUGUUGUAUGCGCUCAGCUUCUUGCGUAAGGUUUGAGGACUGCAUGGUGCUUCCAGUGUUCAUAUCAAAGCCAUAUGGAACUAUUGAGCAAACGCUAGUGGUUGCAGAGUGGGGAAGUUUGGGGCUUUCUAGUUGGGGGAGCUGGAGGAAAGCAUCAUGAUGAGACGUAUGAUAUUGUAGCUCAGGCUCCUGCUUGCAGGGAUAAUGGUGGUUGUAGGAUGCAAAAGGGUGAGAAACUCGCCUCGGGGAAUCAAGUUCGGGCAUGAAUGAGACUUGAUCAUCGUACCAAUUAGAUGGCGAGUCAUACUCGCCCAUUUUCUGCAUUGCCGUCACUCGCUUCUUGAACACUCUACAUACAACCCAUCCUUCUUCCUGGUGCAAGCGAAAUAUAAUGUUCGGAGAAAAGAGAGUUAAUUAGUACGUACUGUCUUGGAAAACAAAUGCAUGGGAUCGAAAAACAGCCGCUUUGUUAUGAAAGCAGUAAAAGAUGAUCAGGGAAUUUAUAUUAUUUCACAUGCAGUUCAUAAGCUGAUCAUCUUGUGGACAUUCGAUCGUAACAUAUGUUUUAUUCA